rnacentral:rRNA from 1 species
CCUACGGGAGGCAGCAGUGGGGAAUUUUCCGCAAUGGGCGCAAGCCUGACGGAGCAACGCCGCGUGAGGGAUGGAGGCCUCUGGGCUGUAAACCUCUUUUCUCAAGGAAGAAGACCUGACGGUACUUGAGGAAUAAGCCACGGCUAAUUCCGUGCCAGCAGCCGCGGUAAUACGGGAGUGGCAAGCGUUAUCCGGAAUUAUUGGGCGUAAAGCGUCCGCAGGCGGCCUAUUAAGUCUGUCGUUAAAGCGUGGAGCUCAACUCCAUUUAAGCGAUGGAAACUGGAAGGCUAGAGUGUGGUAGGGGCAGAGGGAAUUCCCGGUGUAGCGGUGAAAUGCGUAGAUAUCGGGAAGAACACCAGUGGCGAAGGCGCUCUGCUGGGCCAUAACUGACGCUCAUGGACGAAAGCCAGGGGAGCGAAAGGGAUUAGAUACCCCUGUAGUCCUGGCCGUAAACGAUGAACACUAGGUGUCGGGGGAAUCGACCCCCUCGGUGUCGUAGCUAACGCGUUAAGUGUUCCGCCUGGGGAGUACGCACGCAGUGUGAACUACAAUAGAAUUAGUACGGCGUGAGACGUGCCGAACGGACGACCGACGACGGGAGGUAGG